AGCAGCCGCGGUAAUUCCAGCUCCAAUAGCGUAUAUUAAAGUUGUUGCAGUUAAAAAGCUCGUAGUUGAAUUUCAGGCCUGGCUGGACGGUCCGCCUUUUGGGUGAGUACUGUCUGUGGUCGGGUCCUACCUUCUGGCGAAGCGUCAUGGCCUUAACCGGCCGUGGCGGGGAACCAGGACUUUUACUGUGAAAAAAUUAGAGUGUUCAAAGCAGGCAAUCGCUUGAAUACAUUAGCAUGGAAUAAUGGAAUAGGACAAUGGUUCUAUUUGUUGGUUUCUAGGACCGUUGUAAUGAUUAAUAGGGAUAGUUGGGGGCAUUAGUAUUCAAUUGUCAGAGGUGAAAUUCUUGGAUUUAUUGAAGACUAACUACUGCGAAAGCAUUUGCCAAGGAUGUUUUCAUUAAUCAAGAACGAAAGUUAGGGGAUCGAAGACGAUCAGAUACCGUCGUAGUCUUAACCAUAAACUAUGCCGACUAGGAAUCGGGCGAUGUUGACAAAAUGACGCGCUCGGCACCUCAUGG
rnacentral:rRNA from 1 species